CAGCAGCCACGGUAAAACGAAGGGUGCAAGCGUUAAUCGGAAUUACUGGGCGUAAAGCGUGCGUAGGCGGUGAGUUAAGUCUGCUGUGAAAUCCCCGGGCUCAACCUGGGAAUGGCAGUGGAUACUGGCUCGCUAGAGUGUGUCAGAGGAUGGUGGAAUUCCCGGUGUAGCGGUGAAAUGCGUAGAGAUCGGGAGGAACAUCAGUGGCGAAGGCGGCCAUCUGGGACAACACUGACGCUGAGGCACGAAAGCGUGGGGAGCAAACAGGAUUAGAUACCCCUGUAGUCCCUGUAUCUUAUAC
rnacentral:rRNA from 1 species